CAAAUACUUGCAACUAUUAUGUUAAUCACUGAAAUCUUAGUGUACUAAUUGCUCGCUAUAAGCUAGGUUAUUGCGCCCCUAAACCAACGUACUGACAACGCUACCUCCCCGGAACUCAAACUUUAACCGGGCAUGACUUGGUACAUCCAGUGACCCAGCAAAAAGUAGCCUCGGUACAGCCAGAAGUAGCAACAAAUCACAAAAGGGGAUCCUUGUCUGACUGGUGGCUGGACCACAUGGUAGGUCACCAUCAAAUAAGGGAGUGGAUCCAGCACAGCUGGAUAGAGGGGGCCCCGUUGAGGGCGAAGCCUGAAUAUGACACUUGUUGGAAAAGGAAGGACCAAAGGUGCCAUCGUCGAGGGCCCAGUUAGAUGAAGAGAUUGAAGCCUGGGCUGCACACAAUCCUGUUAGUAACAAAAAAAGAAGGAAAAAAUGCUGUCCCAUUUGUCCAUAUGCCCAGCGCCAGAACCCAUUUAUACAUCUGGGUAGUGAGAAAAUCUAGGAAGAAGUCGCCACCCACUGAUGAUCUCAUCCAAGUUUACCAAAGACUCCAAAGCAGUGUAGGAGAGGAAUGGUGGCCUGUUCGAACAGGCAUGGACUGAAUCGCCAGCUCUCAUCUCCCUAGUCACUCCGAUGGCCACGUGUCGCUCCUCGAUCAACAGCGAUUUCAAUGAAUGAUGCGUUGAUGUGGGCAAAAAGUGAAUCCUUUCUCGCCUCUGAACUCAGGUGUUCGUCGUAUCAAUCCAUUUUGAUUGUCGAGCAACUUGUGGGCACACCUCAACUUGUUAGUGGGAAGUAAUUUGCAAUAGAGUGACUUACUUUUAUUUCUAUAUAUUUCAUUGUAUUUUUUCACUUCACAUCAUUGUUAUUUUGAAAAAUCCUGCCAAAAUUCUGUUGACUGUUUGUUGUCGACAAGAGUCUAUGUUUCAUGAAUAACAAGGCUGUGUUCUGUACAUUGUA